AUUGAACGCUGGCGGCAGGUCUAACACAUGCAGGUCGAACGAGUGGCGGACGGGUGAGUAAUGUCUGGGAAACUGCCUGAUGGCGGGGGAUAACUACUGGAAACGGUAGCUAAUACCGCAUACCAUCAGAUGUGCCCAGAUGGGAUUAGCUUGUUGGUGGGGUAACGGCUCACCAAGGCGACGAUCCCUAGCUGGUCUGAGAGGAUGACCAGCCACACUGGAACUGAUACACGGUCCAGGCUCCUACGGGAUGCAGCAGUGGGGAGUAUUGCACAAGGGGCGCUAGCCUGAUGCAGCCAUGCCGCGUGGAUGAAGAAGGCCUUCGGGUUGUAAAGUACUUUCAGCGGGGAGGCGUUACCCGCAGAAGAAGCGCCGGCUAACUCCGUGCCAGCCGCCGCGGUAAUAC
rnacentral:rRNA from 1 species